UACGGGGGGGUAAGCGUUGUUCGGAAUUACUGGGCGUAAAGGGCUCGUAGGCGGCCAACUAAGUCAGACGUGAAAUCCCUCAGCUUAACUGGGAACUGCGUCUGAUACUGGAUGGCUUGGAUCCGGGAAGAGGGAUGCGGAAUUCCAGGUGUAGCGGUGAAAUGCGUAGAUAUCUGGAGGAACACCGGUGGCGAAGGCGGCAUCCUGGGCCGUAACUGACGCUGAGGAGCGAAAGCGUGGGGAGCGAACGAGGA
rnacentral:rRNA from 1 species